UGGAGGUCUUUUCCUACCUUAAUGAUUCAGUGAUUCUGGGAAAGAGCCAGAAAUAAUAAAUGUCUCUAUUAAUCUUUCCCUUGUCUCUCAUGGCAGCUGAACUCAGUUUUUGCUCUCCUGCCUGCCCCAGGCAGCUGGAGCUUGAGCAGAUCCCGGACUUCCACCUCUGGAAGUUACAGUGUGUCUGGAAACUGGAGGCAGGGGCACAGAAUCAUACAAUAUCCUGAGCUGGAUGGACUCACAAGGACCAUCAAGUCCAGCUCCUGGACUGCAUCUCACAAAGGUUGAUGGAGAACUACUCAAUAUAAUCAAUGGUGUUUGGAAUGUGAAUUUCACUGAUCAAACCUGGGCAGUUACUUCAGGGUAAGACAAGUCCCACUCUUAAACUUACCUCCAUUUAUUUAUUUACCUACAUUUAGUUUACCAGGCACCAAAAGGAAACUCAAGGGAGACAUGGAACAUGUAGGGACCUAGAUUGCAAACACAGUUUUUAAGGUGAAUCCCACCUGAAAUGGCCCAAGCCCCUCCAGGAGCCAAUCCAUUAGAAAUGCUGGGACAUAACCAGAAGGCUGUUGGAUAUGCUGGAGACAGGAUACCAAAUACACUCUACCCUUUCCACCGAAGCUGGACCACUAUGCAGAAAUGAAGGAAGGAAGGAAGGAAGAAGGGAAAAAUUAUUUCAUUUAUUUUGUAAUUAUUGGUCUUGGGAUCAUUAUUGAUGCUCUUGCCAGAAAAGGUAGAAAUGUGCUAAUUAAAAUUACUGAUGACAGAAAGUUGGGAGACAUCAAUAAAGACGAUAUUCAUGGUAACACACCAGAAAAAUCAAAUGCUCCUAAGGACCGGAAUGGUAAAAAUGGAAGGAAAUGACUGAGUGAAAUAGGAGUGUGUGCUCUGAUUAAUAUACAGGGAAGGGGUGGUAUAAAUACUGGAAACAGAAAAUGAAAGGGAAAAUGGAGCUUCAUAAAUUUUAUGAUACAGUUGUUACCAGCAGCAGGGAAUUGCACUAAAUGACCCUUCCCAGCAUUUGAUCCCAAUUGCUGAUCAUUUCUCCUCUGUUUCUUCCUUCAUCCAAAGAUGUCAAAGUGCUGUAGCCUCUGAGCAAACUUGUGAAGAAGAUACUUAUCCCCAUUUUUCACACUGGAAAGCUGAGACAGUAUUUGAGUUGCCAAAAACACACAUAAUUCCCUGGAUGAACAGGCCUAAAAGCAAACAACUCCUCUCCAGAAUGCAGGUUUCAGUCAAAUGUUGAGAAAGCUCCAUAAAAGCUGAUGAUCUGAGCUCUCAGGUGGGAGAGGGGAGCUGUGGUGAUGUCCAGUGAAGUUACUUCAUUAUCCAAACUGAUAUCUCAGCAGAAACUCCUGAGGCGCGAGCAGGGCGAUAGUCAGGGAUUCUGUCAGCGCUACAAGGCAGCCAGGGUUCUGCAGAAAAAGGAUACUGCUCUUGCAGUAAAACAAAGUUUUUGAAGAGAGCCUCUGGAACAGAUAAAGCAUGGAGGCAGAACAAUUUUCCGAGGUGUUCUCUGAAGUGCCUUUGUGUCUGACUGCCUCAAUACCUCACCUGAGUUUAUUUACUCUGUAGCAAGAAUAUUGCACACCAAAAAAAAGAAUUUUGGAAGAAAGGACUAAGGAAGGAGCUAAUGAUACUCCUAGAGGGAAAGAAGAUCAAGUCCUUUUUUGGUGCUUAAUUUUAUCUGAACCAAAUCCUUCAUUGCCAUAGUGUGGACACAGAAGCGAGCAGAGCUGGCCCUGUUCAUCCCAGCUGAGGAGCAAGACUUUUAUCUUCUGCUUUUUUUCAUAUUUAUUAUUUAUUUUACAAUAAAUGCUACUAUUUAGCAUC